GGAGAGAUGGCCGAGGAGGCUGAAGGCACUCGCCUGCUAAGCGAGUGAGGGGCUAAAACCCCUUCGUGGGUUCGAAUCCCACUCUCUCCGCCA
rnacentral:tRNA from 1 species